AUUGAACGCUGGCGGCAGGCCUAACACAUGCAAGUCGAGCGGAAGCAGGGAGCUGGCGCCUGGAUUCAGCGGCGGACGGGUGAGUAAUACCUGGGAAUGUGCCUGAGAGUGGGGUAUAACGUCCGGAGACUGGCGCUAAUACCGCAUACUUCCUGAGUGAGAAAGUGGGGGAUCUUCGGCCCUCGCGCCAUCAGAUGAGCCUAGGUCGGAUUAGCUAGUUGGUGGGGUAAAGGCCUACCAAGGCGACGAUCCGUAACUGGUCUGAGAGGAUGAUCAGUCACACUGGAACUGAGACACGGUCCAGACUCCUACGGGAGGCAGCAGUGGGGAAUAUUGGACAAUGGGCGAAAGCCUGAUCCAGCCAUGCCGCGUGUAUGAAGAAGGUCUUCGGAUUGUAAAGCACUUUAAGUUGGGAGGAAGGGCAGUAAGUUAAUACAGUGCUGUUUUGACGUUACCAACAGAAUAAGCACCGGCUAACUUCGUG
rnacentral:rRNA from 1 species